rnacentral:rRNA from 1 species
CCCGUCGGCUGUACCCUCCAUACGUGCAUGUCGAGCGGUAAUGAGCCCUUCGGGGUACACGAGCGGCGAACGGGUGAGUAACACGUGGGUGAUCUGCCUCGCACUUCGGGAUAAGCCUGGGAAACUGGGUCUAAUACCGGAUAUGACCUGCUGUCGCAUGGCGGUGGGUGGAAAGAUUUAUCGGUGCGAGAUGGGCCCGCGGCCUAUCAGCUUGUUGGUGGGGUAAUGGCCUACCAAGGCGACGACGGGUAGCCGGCCUGAGAGGGCGACCGGCCACACUGGGACUGAGACACGGCCCAGACUCCUACGGGAGGCAGCAGUGGGGAAUAUUGCACAAUGGGCGAAAGCCUGAUGCAGCGACGCCGCGUGAGGGAUGACGGCCUUCGGGUUGUAAACCUCUUUCGACAGGGACGAAGCGUAAGUGACGGUACCUGUAGAAGAAGCACCGGCCAACUACGUGCCAGCAGCCGCGGUAAUACGUAGGGUGCGAGCGUUGUCCGGAAUUACUGGGCGUAAAGAGCUUGUAGGCGGUUUGUCGCGUCGUCCGUGAAAACUUGGGGCUCAACCCCAAGCUUGCGGGCGAUACGGGCAGACUUGAGUACUGCAGGGGAGACUGGAAUUCCUGGUGUAGCGGUGAAAUGCGCAGAUAUCAGGAGGAACACCGGUGGCGAAGGCGGGUCUCUGGGCAGUAACUGACGCUGAGAAGCGAAAGCGUGGGUAGCGAACAGGAUUAGAUACCCUGGUAGUCCACGCCGUAAACGGUGGGUACUAGGUGUGGGUUUCCUUCCACGGGAUCCGUG